GAAAGGCUAGGAAAGGCUUUCCAACAUAAAUACUCUCAGGUCACCCAUACACCUCAGGAACUCCUCAGUCAUCUCUGUGAGUAAGCUCAGUAAAUUCAUUUGUUCCCCAGGAAAGCCUUAGUCAAACACUGGGUUGACACUGGAAACUUAGAAAGGAAUAGACAUUGCUUGAAGUUGGAGGGGAAUUCUCACAACAGAUGGAAUAUUUAUUUGUUGAUAUUAUGUCUCAUGGUUUUUAAAAAAGAAAAUACAAAGUUAAAAGAUAGUAGAAGGAUAUGGGAAUGGAGAUAUUUUACUAAGAAGAAUUUAUGAAUGCAGAUUAUGAUGGCUGGAUAUUUCCAGAAUUAACAAAAGGAAAAAAAAUGAGAAAGCCUAAGCAAGUAAUAAAGGUCUGUGUAGAUUUAAAGAUGUUAUUAAGGAGGAUUUAUGUAUAGGAUGAAUAAAAAAGCCUAAGCAAAUGAUAAAGGUCUGUAUAUGUUUGUUAUGAUUUAUCAACGAUGGAACAGGGAUAACAUACAGACAAUCAUGAGGUCAUAACUCAGUCAACUAGUUUAAGGCUGUCUAGUAAAGAUUUAUUGAAGAAUAUUGCCCAAGCUUUAUCUGCAUAACAAUGACUACUGAAAGAUGUCUUUUAUGUUUCUUUGUAUUAUGCAACUGUUACUUUUGCUUUUGUUACUUUCUUUACCCAUAACAAGAAUGAUUUGACUCAAGAAAACUAGGUCUACCUCCUUGAACCAGAUGUAUGCAAUCUAGAAGAAAACAGUGUCUGUGAAGCUUGGUCUGAAUUCUGUUUAUUUCCUGUCGAUAGCCACUCCAACAGCUAUCAAGAGUACCUGAAAACAAAUCCUAAGUUCAUCGCUUUCGAGUCCAGUCUUGGUGGCCCAAAGAAAAAUGAAAAAGAACCCAAUAGAUGAAUGCUUUUGAAAGCCCUCAUCAAAAAAUUCCAAUGGAUUUUAAGUGUUUAAACUUUGCCUUGUUCUGAUUUUUUUCUGGUUCCCUGUCUAGAACUUGUAAUGGCUCUGCAAAAUGCUUGGAGCCAGGUACAUGGACUAGUGCAGGAGGCUCAUGAGCCCAGUCAUCCCUCACUGACCACUGAACAGACAGAUAUGGAACCUGGUGAUUGGAUUUGAGUCCACAGACAUCAAGCACCUAACCUCGAACCCAAGUGGGCUGGUCCAUACCCAAUCAUCUUGCUGACUCCAACUGCUGUUAAAGUUGCUGGACAUGCCCACUGGAUUCACCAUUCUCAAGUUAAGAGAGCUCAUCCAGACCACAUUCCUCAAACAUGGACGGUAAAAAGGACAAUCCUCUCAAAGUAAAACUGGUAAAAGAAUCUUAAUUAUGUUCUCCUUCUGGAUAAUAAAAACUGUAACUGGGUACAGUGACUGAAAUCCCCAUGAGCCAUCCCCUGAUAAUUGGGUAUUAAAAAGAACUUCAGAUGGUAAGAUAUUAGCCACUAACACUAUCACUAACCACUCCCCCGGCUUUCUGUUUGGCCUUUUUGAUCACUUUUCUUUACAAGUAAGAGUAACUAUUCCUGUCCCAUCUCCUCAACCCUGGGGAUAUGGAACUCCUAGUCAUGAAACAAAUUGCAAAGCUUACAGGUUUAUGGAUGCCCAUCAGAUGGGAGUCCAGACUGUAACCAUGAAAAUGAAUGGCAUUAUGGAACUUGGGGUUAUGAGACAUUUGCUUCCUGGAUCAGAUCAAAGGAUAAAUGGAUUUCCUUUCAGCAUGGCACUCAUGGUAUAACUAUGGAAAAACUUAACUUACUCCCUUGAUUCUUUAGCUGAGGUAAUGUUACAAAACUGCCGAGGGCUAGAUCUUGUUUUUAUGCAACAAGGAGGAUUAUGCAUGGCACUGAGUGAAAAAUGUUGCUGCUAUGCUAACCAUACUGGAGUGAUUAGAGAUAGUAUUAGGUUAGUCCAGCAAUGAAUUAGUGCUCGAGAAAGGGAUCUCAGUAAUCACCAAAACUGGUAUGAGUCCUUAUUUUCCUGGUCACCCUGGCUGACCACCUUGUUAAGUGCUGUUCCUGGGCCUAUGAUUCUUAUUCUUUUAAUUUUUACCCUUGGGCCUUGUAUCUUAAAUGACCUUGUAAAAUUUAUUUAUCAGAGACUCCAGGCAGUAAAGCUCAUGAUAUUAAGAACCCAAUAUGAACAAUUAAUACCAGUGCAUGAAGAAAGCUGUACCUAAUAGGUCAAAGAAUUAACCUUACUCACAACAGGAGUGGGGAAGGAACUGGCUCAGCAAACUUACCUAAAUUACUCCCUUUUGUUCAGAGCCAUUUUAGCAGCAACUUUGCUCCACACCAAAAGGAAAAGGGGGGCAACCUUGGGUCUUGGGAAAUUGUCCUAGCCAUGAAUCAUGGAAUGUGCUAAUUCCAGACAUUAUACAUCUGGCUAACCAGCUUGUUUUCACUUCUGUAAUCCGCUUGCUAUCUUGGGUCACCUUGACACAGGGCAUAAGACCAACCUUGUUAUCCUGUUACUGUACGACCACCUGGUAACUGCUGAGUUCAGCUUUCUUACUAUAAUUGUUAUGGCUAGGGAGUUGACUAAUUUUAAAGUUACAAAGUUGAUUGCCAAGUUAUAUGACUGUAUCACUUGUCUGUAUAAUGACUGGUUGUUGAUGAA